rnacentral:rRNA from 1 species
GUGCCAGCCGCCGCGGUAAUACGUAGGGGGCAAGCGUUGUCCGGAAUUAUUGGGCGUAAAGCGCGCGCAGGCGGUCAUGUAAGUCUGGUGUUUAAUCCCGAAGCUCAACUUCGGGUCGCAUCGGAAACUGGGUGACUUGAGUGCAGAAGAGGAGAGUGGAAUUCCACGUGUAGCGGUGAAAUGCGUAGAGAUGUGGAGGAACACCAGUGGCGAAGGCGACUCUCUGGGCUGUAACUGACGCUGAGGCGCGAAAGCGUGGGGAGCAAACAGGAUUAGAUACCCCUGUAGUCU